rnacentral:rRNA from 1 species
GACGAACGCUGGCGGCGUGCUUAACACAUGCGAGUCGAACGCUGAAGCUCAGCUUUUGUUGGGUGGAUGAGUGGCGAACGGGUGAGUAACACGUGAGUAACCUGCCUCCUUCUUUGGGAUAACGCCCGGAAACGGGUGCUAAUACUGGAUAUUCACUGGUCUUCGCAUGGGGGUUGGUGGAAAGGGUUUUUCUGGUGGGGGAUGGGCUCGCGGCCUAUCAGCUUGUUGGUGGGGUGAUGGCCUACCAAGGCUUUGGCGGGUAGCCGGCCUGAGAGGGUGACCGGUCACAUUGGGACUGAGAUACGGCCCAGACUCCUACGGGAGGCGGCAGUGGGGAAUAUUGCACAAUGGGCGCAAGCCUGAUGCAGCGACGCCGCGUGAGGGAUGGAGGCCUUCGGGUUGUGAACCUCUUUCGCUCAUGGUCAAGCCGCAACAAUGGUUGUGGUGAGGGUAGUGGGUAAAGAAGCGCCGGCUAACUACGUG